GACGAACGCUGGCGGCGUGCUUAACACAUGCAAGUCGAACGGAAAGGCCUGCUUUCCCUUGUGGAUUGCGGGUACUCGAGUGGCGAACGGGUGAGUAACACGUGAGUGAUCUGCCCCCAACUUGGGUAUAAGCCUGGGAAACUGGGUCUAAUUCCCGAUAGGACUGCAGGGUGGUGCCUGUGGUGGAAAACGAUUUUCUAGUGGUUGGGGAUGAGCUCGCGGCCUAUCAGCUUGUUGGUGGGGGAAUGGCCUACCAAGGCGGCGACGGGUAGCCGGCCUGGGGGGGUGGACGGCCACAUUGGGACUGAGAUACGGCCCAGACUCCUACGGGAGGCCGCAGUGGGGAAUAUUGGACAAUGGGCGGAAGCCUGAUGCAGCGACGCCGCGUGGGGGAUGACGGCCUUCGGGUUGUAAACUCCUUUCGACCGCGAGGAAGCCACCUGGUUGGAAGGGUGGUGACGGUAGUGGUAGAAGAAGCACCGGCUAACUACGUG
rnacentral:rRNA from 1 species